rnacentral:rRNA from 1 species
UACAGAGGAGCCAAGCGUUGUCCGGAAUUAUUGGGCGUAAAGAGCUCGUAGGCGGUGUGUCGCGUCGGCCGUGAAAACCUGCAGCUUAACUGUGGGCUUGCGGUCGAUACGGGCAUCACUGGAGUUCGGCAGGGGAGACUGGAAUUCCUGGUGUAGCGGUGAAAUGCGCAGAUAUCAGGAGGAACACCGGUGGCGAAGGCGGUUCUCUGGGCAUGUCCUGACGCUGAGGAGCGAAAGUGUGGGGAGCGAACAGG